rnacentral:tRNA from 1 species
GCACCCGUAGCUCAGGUGGAUAGAGCGCACGUUUCCUAAACGUGGUGUCGGCGGUUCAAAUCCGUCCGGGUGCGCCA